AGUAAAGCGUUGAAGAAGAUAAGUAAUUAUUAUGUUUUAUAAAGAGAGAUUCUGAUUGGUGGAAAGAAUUUAAAAGAUAAUAAUGAAUACACUUUGGAGCAGCUAAGUGCAAAGCUUAGACGGUGCAUCACAUCGUUAAAAUAAUGAGUGUGUAUAGAAAUAUACAAAUAAAGGUGGUACCGCGAGAAUUCGUCCUUUAG
rnacentral:ncRNA from 1 species